ensembl:ncRNA hpRNA:CR32207 hairpin RNA:CR32207
UCACGCUGCCACCACCAUCAUUUUUGACAUACAUUUGCAAAUUUAUUUCGUCAAGUGAUCACAUGUUGAUAAUUUAGAUGAGGACCUGCGCAGCAGCAGAGGCGCAGCUGAUUGGAGCGGAGUUGGCCAAACGCGAAGGGUAGGCAAAAGGAAGCAAUCUCAGAAGCAGCAUCGAUACCAUUGCUGUUCCUGGCGAUAACCUGGCUACUGGUGGCGGUCACAACUGGAGCGGGAGCAGCUACCACGGCAGCAGGAGCAGAGUAGGCCAGAGGAGCAGAGUAAGCCAGAGGACCAGUGUACGCCAGGGCAGCACCCAGGACUCCAGGCUUGGCAGCAGCGCAGGCGACGGUUAUCAGGACAAGGACGGCCUGUUAACAAAUCAGCUUGAUUAGUUUAAUCAUCUGGGUCCUUUCUGAUGAACUUUAUGUGAUUUCCCACUGCUGACUGCAGAAUGUGGAAUAACUCUUGGUGGCCACGGAAUGCGAUGGCCUGAGGUCACAGGCGCAGUCCCGAUGCGGCGCAUAAAUAGUGGAAUGGAAUGUGUUGGGCGACAUCAGGUUCAAGUUUUCGAACCGAAAGCACCAGAUCCAUAAUCCAAAUGUUUAAAUCCGACGUCCUUGUCUUGGCCAUCGUCUCCUGCUCUGCUGCCAAGCCUGGACUGAUUGGUGCGCCUUUGGCCUACACUGCUUACGUGGCUUACUCUCCUCUGGCUGUACUAAUGGCCUACCCCUCGCCUUUGGCCUACUCCGCACCACUGAGCUACGCCGUUCCAUCUGCACCGCUUCUUAUCUAAAUUACUAAGCUGUGAUCACCUCGGAGGCGACGAUAAUAAAUGGAGAUAUAAUAAGACGUUAUUCAAUUGUAUAUUCUUAUUUAAGCACGCUUCAAAUUAAUAUUCAUUUAUUUCAAUGAAAAAUUAGCUCUGAACGUACACGAAAAUGAUUGCUAGAAAAUUUCCCAGCAUUGAUUAACAAUUAUUCCAAUUAUUCUUAUUCUUAUAUUAUAAUUUUAACGACUGAUGCAUUUCUCAAUCACAGCCAUUUCUAAAUCAAUCGUCAAAUCUAAACUAACUGCAAAUUUUAAAAGUAUUGUAGUGAUUUAGAAAAUAUAGGUCUUUCGCUAAAUGAUUACCG